rnacentral:rRNA from 1 species
AACGAACGCUGGCGGCAGGCUUAACACAUGCAAGUCGAGCGCCCCGCAAGGGGAGCGGCAGACGGGUGAGUAACGCGUGGGAAUCUACCCAUCUCUACGGAAUAACGCAUGGAAACGUGUGCUAAUACCGUAUACGUCCUUCGGGAGAAAGAUUUAUCGGAGAUGGAUGAGCCCGCGUUGGAUUAGCUAGUUGGUGGGGUAAAGGCCUACCAAGGCGACGAUCCAUAGCUGGUCUGAGAGGGUGAUCAGCCACACUGGGACUGAGCCACGGCCCAGACUCCGGCGGGGGGCAGCAGUGGAGAAUAUUGGACGAGGGGCGCAAGCCUGAUCCGGCCAUGCCGCGUGAGUGAUGAAGGCCCUAGGGUUGUAAAGCUCUUUCACCGGUGAAGAUAAUGACGGUAACCGGAGAAGAAGCACCGGCUAACUUCGUGCCAGCAGCCGCGGUAAGAC